rnacentral:lncRNA from 1 species
AAUGAAUGUUUUAAGACACACACAGGUGUCUCUGGGACAACCAAGAAAAGUGCAACAGGCAGAUGGAUUGAGGAGUCUGGCUAAAGAUAAGGAUUUAGGAACUGCUGAAUUAAAAUUACCCAAGCGUGAGAAGUGGUGUUGUGAUUAAGAGAGAAAAAAAAAAUGGAGGUCUGAGGAAUAACAUUUAAGGAAUAAAUGAAGAGGCCAAAAGGUGGGGGGUGGUUCAGGAGUGAGCAAAAUGUAAGAAGUCAAGGGAAUAAAUCUUUAAAGUAGGGGUUGUCAAAAAUGUCAAAUACAGAAAAAAAGUCAAGUACUAGCUUGUGAAUUAAACUGUGGAUUUAGAAUUAAGAUUUUAGACUUUACAGGAAGGGACUGUUAACCAGAGAGCCAAAUGGCAGAUUUUAGUUAAGGAGCCAGUAGAAGGUGACAAAGUAGAGGUAAGAAUAUUCCUUCAAAAAGAUUGGCAGCUAAAAAAAAAAGAGGCCGGGCGUGGUGGCUCACGCCUGUAAUCCCAGCACUUUGGGAGGUCGAGGUGGAAGAAUGGCGUGAACCUGGAAGGCAGAGCUUGCAGUGAGCUAAGA